UGGCGGUCCCUGUCACACCGUCUGUCAGACGGAAGAGCCCUGUCCAGUGCUCUGUGAGCGCGUCUGUGUGACGAGUGCCCUCGGCCCGCCUUUGUCUGGGACAGGAUUGUAUCUCCCCGUGUGUGAAGGACACUUUUCUCGGGUACAGGACUCUCGUUUGAAAGACUUUUUGGUUUUUGUUAAGUGCGCUGGCAGUCUGAAAUUUUAUCCUAGUAGAAAAAAAUAAUCUACUUUAGAGUCACUUUUAAAUGAGUAUCCAGCCUACGAGCAAAUACAAAGCCAAAAUUUCAGACCCUUGAAGUUUGCUGCAGUGAAGAUAUUAUCCAUAUCAGUGAGAAUGGAGAGUUUAAGUUGGAUAUAGAGUCCAGUGCUAUAAUCCAAGAUGUGAAACUGUUAGAGGAGCUGUUGCUUGACUGGAAGAUAUGGAAUAAAGCAGAGGGCAUCUUAGCUCCAUCUGUGAAGAGAGAGGCCUUGGUGAGAGUAGUAUGAUUAAUUCCAUCAAUUCCUUGGCCUUUUCAUUGUUUAUUACUGUCCAAUAAUGGCAGGAGAAAUACUAAGACCUGCAGCCCAAGGUUCUUGUUAACUGUUUUGUUGAAAGGUCAAUUAAGGUAAUAAGCAAGGUGUCUGGGAAACCCUGCUCGUGUCUUUGAAAGUCCUCAUCCGAGCAGAUCACCACCAGCAAGUGUUUAACAUUAAGCACUUAUUGAAAGCUCAAGUGGUUCAUCACUUUCUACUGACUUGUCAGGUUUUGCAGUACUUUUCAUGUUACUUUACUUUUAGAGAUUUUUUUGUAGUUGUUUCUGAUUAAUAACUCUGUACUAUGGAUAUCAGAUUUUUGUGGAACUUUCAAUGGGAUUUUUUUCCUCCUUUUCAUCCUCUGUUCUCCUGGUUGUCUUCUUUCAAGAAAUAGGAGUUUUUCAGCUCCUGCCUCUCACACCUUAAUCUUUACACUGUCAUUGUUCCUAAUUCAGUUACAAAACAACUACUACUGAAUUUCUGAGACGUUUCUUUAUGUUGGGAUAUAGUAAUAAUUUUGUGGUCUCUUGAACAUAAACAAUAGUUGAUGAAUUUUAACUUGUUCCAUGUCCCUUAAAUAACACCUUACAAAUAUGUAUUAUUUUAAUAAAUAUGACUUUGCUGAAGGUCUAUUUUAUAUGA